UUAACUCACUAGAAAGUUCAGGUGACCACUUUGAAGCUGGGCAAUUGUACUGUGGUAUAUGAUGUGUCCCAAUGUGAAUUUGUGUGAUCACAAUUUUGGUGUAUGAAUAUCCAUAAAAUUUUGGAAGUUCUUGAUUUUAUAAUUAUGAAAAUUUAUGAUUCCAUAAUUGAGCAUUUUAUUCAAAAGUUUAGUCUCUUUAUUGGACUAUCAAUUGCUCAAACAGCAAAUUGAUGAUGCUAAUGCGUAUCGUAUGCAUUGCAUAUCUAAUAGAACUAGUCUGAUUGAUUCUCCUUUGAUUUCAGGUGCAGAUGUGAAAUCAAA
rnacentral:misc_RNA from 1 species